rfam:Triticum aestivum genome assembly, contig: Triticum_aestivum_CS42_TGACv1_scaffold_031603_1BL
CCGCUCACGGACGAUGAUAUGGUGUCGUAUAUCCUUGCUGGCUUGGAUUUCGACUACAUGUCCUUCGUCUCCUCCAUCUGCGCCAGAACUGUCCCCAUCAAGCCCAAUGAGCUCUACGCCCAACUCAUCAGCUUCGAGA